rnacentral:rRNA from 1 species
UACGUAAGGUGCGAGCGUUGUCCGGAAUUAUUGGGCGUAAAGAGCUUGUAGGCGGUUUGUCGCGUCUGCUGUGAAAAUCCGGGGCUCAACUCCGGACUUGCAGUGGGUACGGGCAGGCUAGAGUGUGGUAGGGGAGACUGGAAUUCCUGGUGUAGCGGUGGAAUGCGCAGAUAUCAGGAGGAACACCGAUGGCGAAGGCAGGUCUCUGGGCCACUAGUGACGCUGAGAAGCGAAAGCAUGGGGAGCGAACAGG